GAUGAAGAACGUAGCGAAAUGCGAUAACUAAUGUGAAUUACAGAAUUCCGUGAAUCAUCGAGUCUUUGAACGCACAUUGCGCCCCCUGGUAUUCCGGGGGGCAUGCCUGUCCGAGCGUCAUUGCUGCCCAUCAAGCACGGCUUGUGUGUUGGGUCCCGUCCCCCUCUCCCGGGGGACGGACCCGAAAGGCAGCGGCGGCACCGCGUCCGGUCCUCGAGCGUAUGGGGCUUUGUCACCCGCUCUUGUAGGCCCGGCCGGCGCUUGCCGACACCCAACCAUUUUUUUCAGGUUGACCUCGGAUCAGGUAGGGAUACCCGCUGAACUUAAGCAUAUCAAUAAGCGGAGGA
rnacentral:misc_RNA from 1 species